rnacentral:piRNA from 1 species
UGAGUAUGCAGAUGGGCUGGA